AGAGUUUGAUCCUGGCUCAGGAUGAACGCUGACAGAAUGCUUAACACAUGCAAGUCUACUUGAACUUCGGUUUGGGUGGCGGACGGGUGAGUAACGCGUAAAGAACUUGCCUCACAGUUAGGGACAACAUUUGGAAACGAAUGCUAAUACCUGAUAUUAUGAUUUUAGGGCAUCCUAGAAUUAUGAAAGCUAUAUGCGCUGUGAGAGAGCUUUGCGUCCCAUUAGCUAGUUGGAGAGGUAACGGCUCACCAAGGCGAUGAUGGGUAGCCGGCCUGAGAGGGUGAUCGGCCACAAGGGGACUGAGACACGGCCCUUACUCCUACGGGAGGCAGCAGUGGGGAAUAUUGGACAAUGGACCAAGAGUCUGAUCCAGCAAUUCUGUGUGCACGAUGAAGUUUUUCGGAAUGUAAAGUGCUUUCAGUUGGGAAGAAAAAAAUGACGGUACCAACAGAAGAAGUGACGGCUAAAUACGUGCCAGCAGCCGCGGUAAUACGUAUGUCACAAGCGUUAUCCGGAUUUAUUGGGCGUAAAGCGCGUCUAGGUGGUUAUGUAAGUCUGAUGUGAAAAUGCAGGGCUCAACUCUGUAUUGCGUUGGAAACUGUAUAACUAGAGUACUGGAGAGGUAAGCGGAACUACAAGUGUAGAGGUGAAAUUCGUAGAUAUUUGUAGGAAUGCCGAUGGGGAAGCCAGCUUACUGGACAGAUACUGACGCUGAAGCGCGAAAGCGUGGGUAGCAAACAGGAUUAGAUACCCUGGUAGUCCACGCCGUAAACGAUG
rnacentral:rRNA from 1 species